rnacentral:tRNA from 1 species
GGGGGUAUAGCUCAGUGGUAGAGCAUUCGGCUGCAGAUCGAGAGAUCUCCGGUUCAAACCCGGGUGUCCCCU